rnacentral:rRNA from 1 species
UACGGAGGAUGCGAGCGUUAUCCGGAUUUAUUGGGUUUAAAGGGUGCGUAGGCGGCAGAUCAAGUCAGCGGUGAAAGUUCAAGGCUCAACCUUGAAAUUGCCGUUGAAACUGGUCAGCUAGAGUGUAUUGGAGGUAAGCGGAAUUCGUGGUGUAGCGGUGAAAUGCAUAGAUAUCACGAAGAACCCCGAUUGCGAAAGCAGCUUACUACACUACAACUGACGCUGAAGCACGAAAGCGUGGGGAUCAAACAGG